AGCAGUGUAGCAUAGUGGAAGGGCACAGGGCUCGUAACCGAGAGGUCGCUGGUUCGAUUCCCGGCAGGGGCACUGCUG